GACAGAGGUGCCGAGCGUUAGGCGGAAUCACUGGGCUUAAAGCGUGUGUAGGCGGGCCGCCUAGUGCCUUGUGAAAUCCCCCGGCUCAACCGGGGAACGGCUGGGCAGACUGGCGGCCUUGGGCCAACUAGGGGUCAUCGGAACAAGCGGUGGAGCGGUGAAAUGCGUAGAUAUCGCUUGGAACGCCCGCGGCGAAAGCGGAUGACUGGGGUUGUGCCGACGCUGAGACACGAAAGCCAGGGGAGCGAACGGG
rnacentral:rRNA from 1 species